AUGGGAAGUGUCUUGUUUAGGGAAAGGUUUGGGAUGCCUCCCUCUCUGGCUGGGAUUUGUGGGGGAUUCCUUGUGCUGUGUUCAGGAAUUGCACUUGGGGCUGGCCCAGGCUCAGUGUCCCCACUGUGGUCACUUGCUGAGGAGUAGAGAGCAGUGAGGGCAGAUUGCCUGAUUUAUUUUUUAUAUGUACAUUCUCCUUGUUUCAGGUUGGUGUUUCUUUUUUUUUUUUUUUUUUUUUCACCUUUUUUUGCCUUUUUUUUCUGCGAUGACUGUUCCAAUCUGCUCCAUCCACUCUCCUGCAUCCUGUGGGAAGUGGCCAGGGAGGUGCAGGGAAAAACAAAUUGAGCAGCGCAGGGCCAAGCUGUCAGUGGGCAGAGUUUGGGACAGAAAGGACAGAGAGGGGACAGAGGACAGGAGGGGUGCCAGGAUAAGGGACUGGGCCAGCUCUGAGGUGUUUUUGUGUCUGCAGCCCAAAGCAAGCUAAGGCAGAGUGCCCAGUCCUGAGGCUGUGAUUGCAAGGGCAGAGUCUGGGGAAAGCAACCUCAGGGUGCAGGAGGGUGACAGAGGGACAGAGGUGGCAGGGAGCAGGGUGGCGGGGGGACAGAGAGCUGAGGUGGCCGGGUCCGGAUGGGUUUCUCAUGUUGGCAGGGGGGUGAAGGCAGUGGGAAGGAGGGCAGGAGUGCUUUGAGGGGCACUGCAGCUGCUUUGGGAGGGGGACAGGGCAGGUUUAGGCUCAGUGCUGCCAGUGCAAGGAGCAGGAACAGCCCCAGAGCUCAGGAAAGCGCCUUGGCUGCUGCCUUGAUGCCACAUGUCCUGUUAGCAUGGGGACUUGGACCUCUUGCUGCUGGGAAAAGCCACCCAUCCCUGUGGGAUGGGGCAGAGCCAUGCCAGCCCCGUGCCAGCCCAUGGACUGAGGUGGCUGCCUGCACGGAGCCCAGGGCUCACACUGCACCCCACGCACACAGACUGGUGCCCCCAGCAGCCCUGGCUGGGCUUUAGUCAUGAUCCCAGAGACACUUUCUCAACUCCCCCAGCCCCUCCGUUUCGCCUCCAGUGUAUUUAUGAAUUUCACAUGAAGUACUGUUUUAUUUUUUUAAAGACUUUGUAAAGCUUACCAGGGUUACAAUCACCAUUUUUAGAGCUGCGUCAGUCCACAAUGUUAAAAAUCCUUUUUUUUAUGUAUUAUAUUUUUUGUGUAUUUUUUUUUAAUCCAGCUGUGAUGGGUUGUAUCAUAUAUUUGUUGUGUUUACUGUAUCUGUCCAACUUCAAAGAGAGGAGACUGUGGAGCUCCGAGAAAACUACGGUCUGCUGAAAAAAAACCAAAAAACAUUAAAAUUAUUUGUUCAUGGGUUGGCUCAAGCAGUUCUGAAGUUCAUAUUUUAUUUCAUAGGACUAUGAGAGCUGCCAUGUCCCAUAUAACCCCUUGGCUGGGUAACGCUGGGUACCCCAAUUCUGGGUACCAGGAUGGCACAUCCAGCUGUGUUUUGCUCUAGUUGGCAUCACUGCGGGGUUUGCUUGGGGAAAGUUGGGUUGGCCAUGGCAGAGGAUUCCCUGGGGUCAGGAACAACUUUUGUGGGGUCGCAGGGUGACAGAGGGGUUGGUGUGUCCCACCAUCCCUCCAAGCGCUGCUCGCGGUGUCGGUGCUCACACCCCAUCCUACGCUCAGUGACACGCGUUCCACCACU
ensembl:lncRNA